rnacentral:snRNA from 1 species
UCACUUACCUGGACGGGGUCAAUGAGCGAUCAAGAAGGUUCAUGGCCUAGGUUGGUGACCUCCAUUGCACUUUGGAGGGGUGCCCGCCUAAGGUCGGCCCAAGCGGUCGAGCCGACGUCAUAAUUUGUGGCAGCAGUGGCCUGCGUUCGCGCGGCCACUAC